GUCUUCAUGUUUGUUUGAUUGUGUUUGUUGGGUUUGUCGGUAGAUUUGUUGUUGGCUUCGUAGUCCGUUUGCUCUGGUCCUAUAGCCAGAGAUGGACAAGCAGCCAUGAAAUAUCUUCAGCUUGAACCCACUCACCCACCUCGCAAAGCUCAUUCUGAGCGUGGAAGAAUUUUUGUUUCAUUUGGUGCCCAGCUCGAUGUUAAGGCGAGGUUUUGUUAUGCUCUUGUCGUGAAUUUGUUGGGUUUGAAGGUGAAUUGCACUGUGGUUUCCUGUGGCAGUGUGGUUCCUGAACUGGAUCUGGGCUUUGGGUUGUCGCACGCCAUGCGCUUGGUUGUGCGGAUGGGUUUUUUGUUGCCUGUUCUUCUGAUGUUGAUGAAUAGGUCUCCAACAGAACAUACUUAAAAGAUUGCUGCAUUAUUGAACAUGAGAUGUUCACGAUCCAUUAUCCUCUCUGGGGCACUGUCAGCUAUCAAAAUUUUGACCAUGAGAACUCAGUGCUCUGUAGCUUAGAAUGUCACUGUUAUAUUAGUGUCAGCGUUGGGAAGAAUUUCGGGUUCAACGAGGCUUGUUCAAGAUGAAAUUCAGGAGAGGUUCAAGCAGUCAGACUUUUCUGAAGUGUCAGAUGAAGCGCCUAAAUUACAAAAUCUUAAAAAUCUGACAAUGCUUUCAAGGACCGCAGGUUGAGUGCUAUAAUUGAUGUCACGAUGUCGUUAGCAGAAAUUGAAAGACACGCACGUUUUAUCAACUGCACUUGGCUUAAUUAUUCUCAAUAAGAUAAACAAAAAUGGUGUCAACUGACUCGCAAUCGUGUUUUCCUCGCUUGGACGAUUUUCAUCUUCACACUAAAUGUAAUGUACUGAAGGUUUCAUGUUUGUUGGACAGCAUCGUAUUAGAAGUCUCGUUCUGAAGCAGAGUUGACUGGUUCAGUAUUAUUUUAUUUUUUAUUUUAUUUCGUUUGUUUGCUUGUUUUGUUUUUUUUGUGUGUACCGUGUUUUGCUGUGAUUAUUGUUAUUUGGUGAUGGUGAUAACAGGACACUGCAACUUUUUUUGAACUCCAGCUUCUAUGCAUUGCAUAUUCAGCUGAUCCUGGUCUUAUUCCCCAAAAGGAGCCUUCAGGGGUGCAGGUUGAGGAUUACAUACUUCCGCAGAAGAAGAAUUCAGUUCGCCGCCUUGUUCCAGAUCCUGUACCCCCUUAUACCUUGAGGUGUUUUUCACUACACCUGAAUUGUAAACAUGGAAGUUGAUAAACUAGGGGCUUUGCGCAUAUCUAACUACAACUAAAAUAGCAAAGAACUUUGGCUGUUUCAGUUGAAUGUAUCUCUUUUUCUGUGGACUUGUGCAGUCAUUCAGAUAGACCUUCUUGGCAAAAUGGUGGACAACUGCAAGUAUUGUAGAAAUUUUCAUUCCACCGUCCACGAAUUUAAUUGUAUUUGUUCGGCAGUUUCCAUUGAGUUGUGCUUUUGUAUGCUUUUCAAGUGAGGCAAAAGGUUUUUAUAUAUUUUACAGCUCGGAGCACGCAAACACCCUCAUGGGUGGGCGGUCGGUGCCAUUUGUGGGACUCUCAGUAUGUACCCCCGUUGCAGUAAUAGAACUUCAGCUUCUGGUAUUGAGAGUAACACGUUCUGUUGCGACUGUUGAAGGUUUUAUUUUUAAAUGUUAAAUAACAACAACAAUAUUUGUAGUGAACUCUCACUUGUACUCUUCAUUGUAAUCUAGAAGUUUUCUAUUGCGUUAGAGUAUAUCCUUCUCAAGACAUUUACAUAGAUACUCAACAGAGUCCCUGCAAGUAUUCCAUGAAUCGGUGCAGAAUGCUUGUGAUAUACACCUCUGUAUACCUAGCAAGGGACAGACACAGGGAAGACUAUUUUCAUUAUCACCUGCACAGUUGAGUUGUUUCGGUUUUUUUCUGUGUGCAAGUUACGUAACUACACCAAUUGCCAGUGGUUGUCAGCUCUAAGUGAGAGUUUGUUGAUUACCAUUUUGCAGGUAUCAAACUCCAGUCAAACUUCCAAUCAAGUUCAUAAAGUUUUUUAAAUUUCUA